GACGAACGCUGGCGGCGUGCUUAACACAUGCAAGUCGAACGGAAAGGCCCUGCUUUUGUGGGGUGCUCGAGUGGCGAACGGGUGAGUAACACGUGAGUAACCUGCCCUUGACUUUGGGAUAACUUCAGGAAACUGGGGCUAAUACCGGAUAGGAGCUCCUGCUGCAUGGUGGGGGUUGGAAAGUUUCGGCGGUUGGGGAUGGACUCGCUGGUUAUCAGCUUGUUGGUGGGGUAGUGGCUUACCAAGGCUUUGACGGGUAGCCGGCCUGGGAGGGUGACCGGCCACAUUGGGACUGAGAUACGGCCCAGACUCCUACGGGAGGCAGCAGUGGGGAGUAUUGCACAAUGGGCGGAAGCCUGAUGCAGCAACGCCGCGUGCGGGAUGACGGCCUUCGGGUUGUAAACCGCUUUCGCCUGUGACGAAGCGUGAGUGACGGUAAUGGGUAAAGAAGCACCGGCUAACUACGUG
rnacentral:rRNA from 1 species